UAGGGAAUAUUGGACAAUGGGGGCAACCCUGAUCCAGCUAUGCCGCGUGAGUGAAGAAGGCCCUCGGGUUGUAAAGCUCUUUUGUCCGGAAAGAAAAGCAUUCGGUGAAUACCCGGAUGUUCUGACGGUACCGGAAGAAUAAGCACCGGCUAACUUCGUGCCAGCAGCCGCGGUAAUACGAAGGGUGCAAGCGUUACUCGGAAUUACUGGGCGUAAAGCGUUCGUAGGUGGUGGUUUAAGUCUGAUGUGAAAGCCCUGGGCUCAACCUGUGAAUGGCAUUUGGAACUCGUCGGCUUGAGUGACGUAGAGGGUAGUGGAAUUCCCUGUGUAGCAGUGACAUGCGUAGUGAUCGGGAGGAACAUCUGUGGCGAAGGCGACUGCCUGGACCAGCACUGACACUGAGGCA
rnacentral:rRNA from 1 species